rnacentral:misc_RNA from 1 species
GAAUAACAGGACGUCCAAUUUAACUUGGAGUCCGAACUCUCACUUUCUAACCCUGUGCAUUUGUUUUGGUUAGUAGAACGCUUGCGUUCGAACACCUCUUCAUUUUACAAACACUAAGUCAAAGUAUGUUUAAAUUUAUAACAAAACAAAACUUUCAACAACGGAUCUCUUGGCUCU